rnacentral:rRNA from 1 species
CCUACGGGAGGCAGCAGUGGGGGAUAUUGCACAAUGGGGGGAACCCUGAUGCAGCGACGCCGCGUGGGUGAAGGAGCGUUUCGGCGCGUAAAGCCCUAUCGGCAGGGAAGAAGAAGGACGGUACCUGACUAAGAAGCCCCGGCUAACUACGUGCCAGCAGCCGCGGUAAUACGUAGGGGGCAAGCGUUAUCCGGAUUUACUGGGUGUAAGGGGGGCGCAGACGGCAGCGCAAGCCAGGGGGGAAAGCCCGGGGCCCAACCCCGGGACUGCUCUUGGAACUGCGCGGCUGGAGUGCAGGAGGGGCAGGCGGAAUUCCUGGUGUAGCGGUGAAAUGCGUAGAUAUCAGGAGGAACACCGGUGGCGAAGGCGGCCUGCUGGACUGCGACUGACGUUGAGGCCCGAAAGCGUGGGGAGCAAACAGGAUUAGAUACCCCGGUAGUC